rnacentral:tRNA from 1 species
CGGAUGUGGUGGAAUGGUAGACACGCCAUCUUGAGGUGGUGGUGAGCUAAGCUUGUGCGGGUUCAAGUCCCGCCAUCCGCACCAU